rnacentral:lncRNA from 1 species
GUAGUAUUACUAUUAGGAUUUGUGUUUGGUGUAAUUUUUACAUUCACAUCCAAUAGAAAAUUUACCAUUUUGCUAUAUGAUCCAUUUCCUUACAAUAUAUACUCAUUGAAUCACUACUAGUUCGUGGCUGUGAAGUGAAGACUGCUACAUAACACAUCAAGUAGCCACUCAUCCAAAUUAGCUUAACUCAGUCAACUAUCUCUAUGCUCAAAUUAAAUGAUGGUAAUGAUACUCUUUGUUUUGUACGCUUCUUUGGAAAUUCUGGACUGCUAGAAACAAUGCUGUGGAAAGGUCUAAACUCUUUCUCUAUUUUUUCUGACGCAGCAAAUGUGGUGGACUGCAUCUAUAACAAGGUGAAAAUUGCAGCCAUUGAAAUGGUGGUCCAAGACUGUAGGGAGGUGUUGUAUGGUAUGUCAAAUGUUAGUGUCUUGUUUGUUGGUAGAAGUCUUAAUGUUGAUGAUCAUAACAUGGCCUCUUUGGUAGAAAUCUUAAUGUUAAGUAUUGACUUUUAAUGUGUUGAAUGUAACUUUGUUAGCUUGUUAAUUAGUAUUUUAUGACUUGUGACUUGUGGAAUUGACAAUGACUUGUGAUGGAAUUGGUAUUUUAUGAAGGAUUGGUAUUUUAGAAUUGGUAUUUUAGGAAUUGGUAUU